rnacentral:lncRNA from 1 species
GGUAAAAGAUCUUGGCCCGAGUUGGUUGGGGUACCUGGAAAUGUAGCUGUAGCAACAAUUGAGAGGGAGAACCCUUUGGUGAAUGCAAUUAUUUUGCCACCUGGAACUCUUCCGACCCUCGAUUUUCGAUGCGAUCGUGUGUGGGUGUAUGUCAACAGCAAUGGCAAUGUUACGAGGGUUCCUGUGAUUGGUUAAUUAUUGUUGUAUUAGGGUUUGAAUAUGAUUAAUAAAACAUCAUGUAUGUAUGUAUGGUGUGAAUAUUACGAAUAAAACUAUGAAUGGGUGUAUGAAUAUCUAGUACGUACUUCUGUACGAUCGUGUAUGCGUUUCAUAACGUGUUUUUAUGUCAAAUAAAUGUGGAAGAUGUUGUUGUUGUUGUUUCCUUCUUAAAUUCCUUGCUGUUCUUGGUUUAGUAAUAAGGAAACGUAGCUCAUAUAGCUUCGUUAUGGUCUAACUUCUUGUCAAUAUAUUUUUUUCACUCUGCUUUGUGAUGAGGUCAACAAUAAUGAUGUGGUUCGAUUCUAUGCUACGUCUCCAAUUCCUUUCUCGCAUUCUUAAUUUCUCGCGUGGGCAUUAUUUGUAUCACAAAAAGUUGUUAGGGCAACCGGUGCUUGGUUCUGACGAAAAUCUUUUAAGGCUCAAGUAAGGUCUAGAUGGUGAAAGAAUUCAGAGAAUUCAAAAAACUGCUCGAGAGUUAUAAAUUGCGUAGCUUUAGUUUUGAGGGUUAUGGGUAUUUCUAUGGAGAAAUGUAUUCUCAUGGAUUUAAGGCUCUUAACAUGGGUUAACUUGUGCCUUAACCAACUUGGAUUUAUAAUAUUAGCCUGAACCUACUUGGGCUUGGUUUGUAUGCUGUUAUGUGCUUGUCAAUAUAGACCUUUGGGCGUGGGCCCAUCAUAAGCUCCCCACUCUUUACGAGUCUCGAAUAGCUAGAAUUGGUUAGUCAUAUUUGGAAAAUUUGUGAUUUGGUUAGUCGAUUUGACGAUUCGUGGUGUAAAAAGUUAAAAGAAUUAAUAUUGAUGCGGUUGACAGCAGUAUUAUUAUAAUGACAGUAAUAUUAUUGUCAACCACAGUAAUAUUAUUGUGUUUACAGUAAUAUAACAGAGAGUAAUAUUAUUAUGUUGACCGGUCAAUAAAUCAAAAAAAAUAAAAAAGUCAAAAAAAAAAAUAAUAUUGAUGUGAUUGACAAUUAUAUUAUUUGGUUUACAGUAAUUGUACUGUCAACGUUCAACGACGGGCGGGAAAAAAAAGCGGAUAAAAAUUUUCGAAAAAAAGAGUCAACACCGGGAACCGACGGUAAAAAAAAAAAUUCAAAAACCAAAAAUUUGAAAAAAGAAAAAGUCAAAAUUAGAUUUUUGUGGUCAAAAUUGAUGAAAUUAAAAUUAAAUUGGGUUACAAUUAAGACGCAAAAUUGAGUUUAAAGGAUUGUGGAUGAUUUUGUCAUAUACAUUAAGAGGGUGUUUGGCUAAGCUUAUUUUAAACAACUGAUAAGCUCUUACGUCUGAUAAGAUGUUUUAAGAACUGAUAAGCUGUUACAUCUUAUUUUUAGGAUUAAUUUUUAGAGUGUUUGGAUAAUGGGCUUAUUUUCUAUUUUUACUCAUUAAAAGAUCUUAAAUAAAAAGGUGGGGUAGAGAUACUUUUUUAAAGGAGCUUUAAGAUAUGCAUCCCUAGUGGGAAAACUUAUUAGAUAAUACACCCAGUCUAUAAAAACAUUAGCCUCACAUCCUUUUGUGAAAUAAUGCCUAUAGUACCCUUACAGUCACAUUAACGCCGCUUAUUUUUAAUUUUGGAAAAAUAAAAUUAAAUCCCACCAAUCUCGCCAUUAGUAAUCUCUGAGAUUCUAUUUUCCCAAAUCCCACAUUAACCGUAUCAUAAUCCAACCCACUAUCCCCACUUCGCCCCCUCUUCGCCAGAUUAGGUUUUUUUUCUCCUUUCGUUCUCAUCUGCAAAUCGACGGCGAGCAACAUCAUAGAAUCCAGAAAAAAAAAAAACGAAUUGUCGGCGCCAUUAACGUUUACGGAUGUCUACGUCAAGAACCAGAUCAAGUAGGUUUUUAUUUUUGUUGAUUUUGUUUUGAAUGUUUUUUAUGGGGAAUUUACAAAGUCGAAUGAACAGGCCGGGGAGAUGCGUCUGAAGCGGCAGCACGACAUAACUGCACUAGACCCUGGUAUGAUUCAAAGCAUGUAUAUUUUUUUGUUUGAUGUUUUAUAUUUCUGCGGGUAUCUAUGGAUUCCACCGAAGAAAUCUAUGGGUUCGACCGAUUGAAAAUAUGCCCGUAAAUAUUUUCGUGACAAAAAAUUGCAAUCCGUUGUUGGUUAAUCGCUGUCUAUAUUUUGCUAUGUUUCAUGACUUGUGAGUGUCGUCAUAUAUUAUGUUGAGGAUUAGAUUUGUGUGAUUGUAGAUAGAUGGUGUAAAAAGCCUGUAUAUUUCUUUGAUUAAUUGUAAAAACGCAGCUUGAUUUCUAUGGUAGUCUAUGAAAUGAUAUGUGUUUCUAUAGUAUUCUAUAAAAAUAACAAUUGAAGAAAUGCUAUUAAAGUUAUGUGCAAGAGUGAUUCCCUCAUGUUGUACUGUCUUUUCUGAUGUUUAAUUAACAUUUGCUAUUAUAUGAUGUCUAUGUAAUUGAUAGGAUGGCCAAUCUUACUUAUGCGUAAGUUUUUUGCUAAUGAAUUGUGUAUUUAACUUCUAUAUAUAUUUGUAACUAUAAAUUGAUGAUGUAUUUUUAUGGGUGUCUAUGAUUGGGUACUGUGUUGUCUCUCCUAGUUUCUAUGGCAGUAUGUGAGUUGAUUGGGUACUACAAUAGUCUAUGGCGGCGUGACAACAAUAUAAAUUUUGGUACAAUUAUUUUGUUGUGAUGUUUUUUUUUUUUAGCAGAUCUAUGUUAUAGACCUAUGAAAUAGCGGUUAUUAUGUGAUUCUUUGUUUAAUUGAUAGUCUGAUCUAAGUGGCAUAUUUAAAAAAUAUUGCUAAUGAAUUGUGUAUGUUUAACUACAUGUAGUACUGUGGUAUACUAUGGAUACUGUGAUGUUCUAUGAUUUUGUGUUAAUUGCAAUAUUCCCAAUUUCUUAAUACAAAGAUACUGACCCUACAAUUACAUAGGAUAGGUACUUUUUAAUUUUCACCCAAACAUGUAACUUUGAUCACAACUAAAAUAUGGUUUGUUAUAUUCGCAGGAGAAGCCAUGAAUGUUGUGUGAAAAACGAGAAAUAAAGGUGGUUAUAGAGAUGAGAAACGACAUUAUAGAGGUGUGUCGCAGAAAUGAGAAAGGACAUUAUAGAACACCUUAUGAAUUACAAAAUCAAUUAGCCAUGGAGUAGUCUCAUUUAUUUUGUCUAUUGUACGCAAACGAAAACAUUUGUAGAAGUUAGGUUUUUCCGCUCUAUUUUGUAGUUGUGUUGAAAUAUUCAAAACAAGCUGCUGUUCAUUAACACAAUAUCUUAUCUAUAUAUGCCUUUUGGAAGGUAGAUUUGUUGAUUUUGUUUAUUUGGGAAUUGGAAUACCAUACAUUAUUGUGCAAAUGCAGGUAUUGAAAUGACACAAGGGCGAAUAUCGUAGUACUCACCAUACUAUAGUCUACUUUGGCAUACUAUGGAUUACUACAUAACUGUUAGAUGAACUCAUUAAAUGACAGUGCACCAAAACAAACUGUAUUGUAUCGUUCUAAUGUGUGGCCAUUGAUGCAAUGCUGUGAUUAUUAUGAUUUUAAUAAUAACUAAACAGUGCAAAUAGAUUAUCUGUAAAAACCAUAAACAUGCAUCAUAUUUUCACAAAAAACAAAACAAUUUACAAACGAGAAAGAACAGACAAACUUGAGGAAGAAUAAAUCGUGCAAGGUGUUGAAAAAUAACUAUUGAAAAAAUAAAUUUAAAAGGAAAACUAAGUUAAAACAAGUUAACACAUGAAAGUGAAACAAAACAUAACCCCGCCAAAAAAAGUUACAAUAAUGAGAAUGAAACAGUCCUGCCGACCCAUAAACCCAUAAAAUUCAGUUUGAUACAUUUGUAGAGUUUUGUUCGUUUGGUGUUUGGAAUAGCAUGCGUAAGGUUGACUAACCAAUUGGGGAUAAUUGUGUACAAAUGGUGUAACACCCCACCUUUCCACAAUCCGAAAACCCUAAAACCCGAGACUAAUAUUUCUAACUCGAGAACCCUUAGGUAAUAUUAUUACAUAUUAUUAAUUAUAUGCAUUACGAGAAUUUAAUUAUGUGAUUUACGUGAAUAAUUGCGUGCGCUAUUAUAUGUGUGAUUUAUAUGCUUUAAAUUUUCGUAAAUUGAAAUUCUAGGAAUUUCGUGAAUUACGUGACUUAUGAGAAUAAUUGCGUAUCUUGUCUAUUAGGUAAAUUAUUUAUAUAUGUUCGAAAUUGGUGAAUUAUGUGGAUUAUGUGUAUAUAUAUAUAUAUCUAUACGUGUAUACAUGCACAUGCAUAUACAUACCUAUACAUAUACUACUACAUGCAAUAUAUAUAUAUAUAUAUAUAUAUAUAUAUAUAUAUAUAUAUAUAUAUAUAUAUAUAUAUUUAAGCAUAUGACCGAAGAUAUGUGUGUGUGUGUCCGGAUUGUGUGUGUGUGGUGUUUAUGCAAGUGGAUUUAAUUAAAUUAGUACUAAACAUGAGAUUAGUAAGAUGAAGAGACACUCUUCAUCUUUUCCUUCCAACACCUAGCCAAAUUACUUGUCUUCUCCUCCCUUCCCCACCGAAGCCAUCACCGCCACCAUCGGCCCUCUUCUUCAUCCACCUCACCUCUCAUUUUCAAAGAAAAUCCCCAAAAAGAAAAUGAAAGUUCCCUAUUUAACACUUGCCAUAGACUAUUCCAAAAACACCAUCAAAACCACUUGCCUCCUUUCGAGAGAUCACAACUCAUCCCUGGUUGAAGCUCACACCAUUUCAUUCACAAUCAAGGUAGCUUGGAUGGAUUUCGGUGCUUGAAAGCCUCUCUUCCUUCGGUUGUUUUCUUUCUUCGAUUUUAAGGUAAGAAAUUUCGAUUUCUUGCUGCAAUUAAAUGGCAUCAAUAGUAUUAAAAUGGUUUUCAAAAUUUUUAAAAGAUUGGGAGUGAUUUCGAAAAUUUAGGGCUUUUUAGGGAAAAAUAGAAAAGAAGUGUUUCUUGUUAAUUUCUUGUUCUUGCAUGCAUCAUCUAUGUUGGUAGUGGGUAGAUACAACUUUUAUUGUCCAAAAGCAUUAAAAAUUUCGGAUUUCAAAAAGGGGUUUCAAGAAAAAUGAAUUUUUGAACUUUUAUGUGGAUGCAUGUGUAGAUCUUCAAAAGUUUUGGGUCAAAUCUGUAAUUUUUGAGAAGUCAGUCUUAAUUGUGUUUUCAAAACUGUUUUCCAGCAUUUAUUGAACAAAAAUUCGGAUUUAAAGAAGUUUUGUAAGAAAAGAGUAAUUUUUGAACUUCUAGUGGUCUUGCAUGUAUAGAUCUAGAGAUUUUGGGGUAAAAUAUGUAAUUUUCGAAAAUUCUGCAUAAAGUAACUUUUCAACUUCGAUUUCUGCAUCUAAUAGAGUAAAAUUUCAGAUUGUUAGGGGUUUUUUUUAUGAAAAAGUGGAUUUUGAACUUUUAGUGUGGUUGCAUGGGUAAAUCUUGAAACUUUUGGGUCAAAACUGCAAUUUCCGAAAAAUCUCUCAUUUCUUAAAUUUGAAUCUGUUUUCAGCAAGUACUAAAUAGGAAAAAGUUUAUUUACAAAGUUUUCAAAGUAAUUAGAGUUAUAUUAGAGUUUUGGAUUUUUUAAAAGAAAAAUGGAAAUUCCUCGAAUUUUAAUUUCAAGAAAAUUCGAAACUUUGUGAAAAUUUAAAAUAAUUUCAGAAUCUGAAAUUUGGGUCAGUUUGGAGUUCUAGGAUUUAAUGUGAGAAUUUUUGGAAUUAGUUUACUAUUAUUUCGAAAUUAGGACAAUUUGCAUGUCAUUUAAUAUGUUUUGUGCUUUAAUGUUUAUGUUUUUGAUUUAAUGGUUAUGAGUGAUGAGUUUUGGGAUUUUAUACUUUUAAUUUGCUGCUGGAUGUGGUUUAAUGGCCGUGAAAAUUUAUUGAAAUGGAUUAUUACCUAUAAGUGGUAAUAAGUUCAUUAAAUGAAAGGUGAAAAAGGGGUAAUUGCUUUUCAAGCAUGGUUUGAUGUUAAAUGAGGAUGUUUAAUGUGUUGACUGCAUGUGUGUGUGCUGAAUAUGUGUUAGUGUGUGUGUGCUGUUUGUGCAUGUGGUGUGUGCCGUGUGUGGUUGUGUGUUUAUAUGUGUGAAUUUGGGAUUUUUGCCCAAAUUAUAAAUAUGUGGUAAAUUGUGAUAUUUGUGUGAUUUUGUGGCACUUGAUUGAUAUUUUGUGAUGUUAUGUGUGGGUCAUAGCAUGAUUUCGAAAAGUUGCAUUAAAUGAUUUUUAAAUUGAAAGAUUAAUGGAAUAUCGGGUAAUAAACACCUCGGAUAUAGUGGGCCGGUAUCCAACUAGGAUGAUGUGGUUGUGGUUUGAUCCCACUUAGUGAAAACGGGCUCGUAACAGGUUUAUUACUCAGGUACAUAAAUUAAUCUUUCACGGAUCCGAUAAAACGAAAAUUUUGUUUUUUAUGAUUUUCACAAAAAAGGGGCAUUUUAGUCAUUUCGGAUAAGUACGUGAUUUUGUGUUAAUGAUGUGCUUUCGUUAUCGAUUGCCUUGUGUUGUUGUACGAAACGUGGGUAAGAAUGGGUAUAUAAUAUUAUAUAUUAUGUAUAACGUAUUUUCAAAGUUCGAUAUUUCACCGGAUUUCUUACUGAGCUUUAUAGCUCAUAUAGAUAGAUGUCUUUUAAUUGCAGGUAGUAGUAAUCCUCAACCAGGAUGGACCGAGUAGUGGAUCGAGGUCUUGCCCGAAAUUUUGGAAGACGUACGAGGACCUAUGAACGAUGCUAGAAACUUUUGGUUAUUUUCUUUUGGUGAUGUAAUAUUAAAACUAAAUACUUCCUUUUCGUACCUUUUAAACUCGUUAUCUAUAUGGAUCGUACCUAACUCCCACUAUAAUAUAGUAAGUUUCGUAAUUUGCUGUUUUCAUGCCUCCGUUAGUGAUUUUCGAAUUAUUCACCAAAAUCACCCUUCCCAAACUCUGAUUAUUUUUCGAACCAAAAAUCGAUGGUGAUACUGUAGCACUCGAACAAAAGACCUCCCCUCGAAACUUAUUUCCAAACGAAACCUUUGUUCGGCUAAAGUAACCUAAGAAAAGUUUUUUUCAAAAGUGCAAAGUUUUCAUUAUCCAAAGGAAGAUAUUUUUGAUAAUUGCAUUUUCGCCCCAUUCCAAUGUUUUAAAAAAUUUCAAAGAAAUCCUUAGCUUCCGCUAGUUUAAUAAAUAUUCUGAUAAACCGGUUCGAUUUAUCGCCCGACAAAAAGGGGGGUGCUACAAAUGGUAUUGAAUGUAAAAAUAUGGCCGCAUAUAAUAUUGUAAUGUACUAUAAAAACUUUAGAUAUGCGGACUUAGUGAUAAAGUGCACCAACACUGGCUGGAUUGCAUCUAUCUUAUGGUAAUUGUUGCAAUGUUGUCAUUACUGUGAUCCAAAUAUUAACUGUACAAUGCAAUGAGAUUCUAUGUAAAAAUCAUAAACAUAUAUGAUAUUUUCCGGAAAAUGUUUUGUCUGUGCACAAAUGUACUGUAUAGCAAACUCAAUUAUUGAAUUGCUCAAACAUAAAUCCUUAAAAGUAAAAUUAAAACAGAAAAAUAAUUUAAAUCAAAUGAAUCCCUGCAAAGUACGAAAACGGUGCGGACAAAAACAUAAAUCCAUGAAAGAAAGAACAAACAUUCGUCACAAAAAAAAAACCGACAAUGAAAUGACACAGUGCUGCCCAAAACAUAAAUCCAUGAAAAGAAACAAAAGAAAAUACUAAGUCUUUAGAUCAAUGCAAACUUGAAACAUCUAAACAAAAACUCAAACUCAAAACUACUGAAUAGCCCUUGUGUAUGUCUUUUUGUUGUGGGUUCCAACCCUCAUCCUCCUCGCUAUGCUCUCACCCCUAGAAGCAAUUCUUUUCGUCUUUGGUCUACCACGUUUCAGCUGGAACUCAGGUGGACCAAUGACAGCCAACGGCGGAUCCGCAAUAGGCCUAGCAAAUGGAAAACCAUAUUGUGUAUGUACAACUCAUUCCAUUUAGCCCUCACAUAACAGACAAGCAUGUUGAAAUUCAUAUCACCAGACACAUUCUUGAUGCCAAAACAUUCACCAAACCUCAUCACGAUCUUAACAGUUAUCGACAUUCUGAAAAUAAUGUGAAAAUAAAAAUCGAAUAUAAAUGAAUCUGCAAAUAAAUAUAUUAAUACAAUAAUUUACGUGAAAUCGUUGUUCCACUGUACAAUUAAAUUUUCAAAUUUAUAAGUGGGUCUUGUGCGAAAAAAAAACCAAAAAAAUAAGGGGUCUUAAGAUAUAAGUCCCUUUUUUUUUGAUAAUUAAAGAUAUAAGUCCCUGGUGACAAACCUUAUUAGAACUAAAUGACAACUCUAAUUAAAAUUUGCUUCACAUCCUCUAUGAAAUUUAUUCCGAAAAUGCCCCUCUACUCACAAAUUCGAAAUUACAGUAGAUUGUAAAUAUACUAUGAUGAACUAUGGUAUUAUUUAAUAUUUUUAAAUUUACAUAUAGCAUUUUUUUUCAUUACGUGUUUUUUAUUUUUCUUUUUUCAUUUUUCAUAUUUUUCAAUUAUAUAAAAAUCUAUUUUUCCACUUAUUUUCUACAUAAAUUGAAAAUUAUGGUUUUUUUAAUUUUUUUUCGUAGUAGACAUCUACAAAAACCCAUAGGAAACGUAGUAAUCCGUCACCCACAAACAUCUUGAAACCCUAGCCAUGAAACCCUAGCCGCCAGACACCGACACCCAAAGACACUCAUAGACAUCUGUAGACAUCCAAAUCGAAAAAUAUUAAAAUUUCCCCUCCAAACCCUAGAUCCGAUCCGCCGCCACCACCACCACCACCGCCACUACUCCCCCCUCUCCCUCCCCCACACCCAGACCCACCUCACGACUCAUCCGUAAUGGUUGCAAACAAAAACGAGCCUGCCAUCGUCUACCCAGUGUCACAAAGCCUCCAGAUGCAACUCCUACAUCAAGUGCCGCCAUAGUCGCUGCCAUAGCCGCCUCCAUAGCCACCGCCGCCGCCACCAUAACCACCUUCAGAGCCUCUAUACGUUACUACAAAAAAAGAGCUUUUAAAUAACGAAACAAUGGUAACAAUUGUAAAAUUUGUCACAAUAAGUAGUCUAUGGUAACGAAUUAUAAAUUUUGUCACGAAAAAAUCAUUGUUUUGUAACGCUACUAUAAUAUCGUUACCAAAAGAAGAAUUUCGUUACAAAAAAACCCAAUAUUUGGCGACAACCAAAUAUAUUGUUACAAAACCUUUAUUUUUGUUACGAAAAAAUAUUUUCUAGUGACAAUGAUAAACACUCGUUACAAAUGUGAUAAUGUUGUCACAAAAACUUGUUAUUCUUUUGUGACAAAUUUGAUCUAUUACAAUAACUUAAUGGAAUUGCCUUAGAUAGUUAUUAAUUAUUCAAAUAUACAAAUGCAUUUUAGAAUGGUGUUAAUUUUUAGAAUGUUACAACUAGGAGUGGAAAUCGGAACGAAAAUUUUUGAUUUCCGUCGAAUCCGAUCCUAAAAUUUCCGAUUUUGGAACGGUUUUAUCAAUUCCGAAUUUCGAAAUUUCGAAUUCCGAAAAUUCCGAAAAUUCCGAAAAAAAUCGGAUCGGAAUCGGAAAUACAUAUCGAAAUUUUGGAAUUUCCGAAUUCUGAUCCAAAAUUAGUUCCGAUUUUUCCGAUUUUUUUUUCCGAUAAUUUCCGAUGAUUAUUGAUAUUUAUAAAUUAUUAUAUUUAAAAGGUUCAAAAACAUGUAGUGAUAUACAAAACUUUGGAAUUCCAUGUAAAAACAAGGGUCCUCUAUGCUGUACGAAAGAAAAUAAAAGUUUUAUUGAGUGUAUGUGAAAAUAAGGUUACAGAAAACAAAGCAUGCUCAACAACUUAAAGUUACACAUAUUGAAAACAAUAUUCGCAAGCAAUCAACUUAAUUUGUGGCCAACGAAUCAUAGGUACGUUUAUUUUACAUUAUCCUAAUUCAACUUUUCUCUCGUGUAACAUAAAUUCAUAUAAAAUGUUUACAUGUAUAAUCUUCAACGUACAGAAAAUAAAAAAGAAAAUAUUAAAUUAACAAAUCCAAAUUGUAGAGCCACAUCGUGCACUGCACGCAUAAUAUUUUAUUCGAUUAUAUUAAUUUCACACGAGUGUCUCGCACGUGGACGUGGCUGGGUCCCACAUAGCCGGCAGCAGAUUUCAGUGUUCGUUUGUAUGUAUUAAGAUUUUUAAAACCGAAAUUAGUAUCCGUGAAAAAAUCCGAAUUAGAGAUGCUAAUCGUUAAUAAUAGACGUUAGUACUUUGAAGUCCAAGACCACAUAUUUGUCUUAAAGUUCGUUGCAUGUGAAUUUAAGGUAGAAUUAUAGAGACGCGGGUCGUAUUAUGUCGUUUCUUAUACGAUAAACAUUCUCGUGAUCUCAUUUUAUUAUUAUUUCAUUUCUUAGUCAAUUGAAAGAUUGUGACGUGUUGAACGUUUUCUUGCAGAGACGAUUGAAGAAGUAACGAAAAAUGUUAAAGAUUACAUUAAGGUACUUUUUUCACGUUUGAAUAGGAUGCUUCUAUAUCCUUUUCUUUUGUUUUAUUGAGGAAUUAAGUAUCAAGCUUUCUAUUUUGUCUUGAAACUGCUGAUUUUCAUUUUAAUUUAUAAUGCCAUGAAGAUAAUUAUUAUUUUCUUUCUCGUCAGUCUAUAAAACCGGAGCUCGUUGUGCAAGUAGAACCGAUUGUGGAUCCUUAUGGCCCCUGAAUUGUUGACGACAAUUUGGAGGCUAUUGUUGCCAGGUUUGUAAUACCUCUGUAAAAUCACACCUCGGCAAUAAUCUUCAUAUUUUCUUUGAUUAUUAUCUGAUUACCGAUCCACUUGGCGACUCCUUUUCCUGUGAUUAUAUUUACUUCCGUUCCGUUCUAUGUUCUAUAUCCACUAUAAUUGAAGAGAAAAAGAAAAGAGGGGGGAGGAGGACGUGAGAGAGAGAGAGAGAGAGAGAGAGAGAGAGAGAGAGAGAGAGAGAGAGAGAGAGAGAGAGAGAGAGAGAGAGAGAGAAACCAGAAAGUGAGAGGGAGAGGACGUGUUGAGCGGCGACUUUUAUUAGGUAUUGUAAGGGUAUUUUUGGGUUAUUUAAAAAUCAAAGGAUGUGUAUCAAUUUUUAUUUUGAAAUAGGGAUGUAGUUAAAAUAUUCUAUUUGAGUUUGUCACUUAUUUCUAUUUAAGUUUGGUUUGAGGGGUGUGGUGCAUAUUACCCCUAUUUAAAAAGAUCUUAUUUGCUCUCCAAGAACUUAUUUAAAAAAAAAUUAAGAUCUUACUCUAAAAAUUUACCAAACACUUUAGAAGAGCUUAUAAGCUCUAAAACAUCUUAUAAGCUCCUUUUAACAUCUUAUAAGCUUAGCCAAACACCCUCUAAGUUUGCCUUUAUAUAUGAUAUAUAUUAAAAUAAUGGACUCAUUGACGAAAAAGAAUAUAACCCCUGAAGUUAAAAUAAUAAAUGGUUGAUGAUGAACUUAUUCAUAAAAAUCCCUAAAAUUAAUAUUAUGGUCGGAGUUGCCCUAACCACCUAAUAUCUAAUCUAUAUGAAAUUACUUAAUAUUUUCUCAAACAAUAAUAUUUGUAAAUUCGAGUCCAUCAAGAAUAUAAUCUAUCGUAUUUACAAAGUACGUGGCCUUCACGUUAUCUCCUUGUUAACAACUUUUUAAGAGCAUCUCUCAUCGGUUUCACCAUUGUUUCACCAAAUAUUAUAUUUUGUGGUCGAAAAAUAGGUUCAUUUCUCACCGGUACACACCAUUUUAACCUUCUAUUUUAAAUGUAAUGGUGAUAUACAAAAUUUGUAUAGGAAGCUAAGAACACCUAAUUAGAUUAAAAAAAAUACCAGUAUAGUGACCGAUUGGAGAUACUCCAUGUGAUUGAGGUUCUAUAAAUUUGUUCAACUAUAUAUAUACAUAUACAUAUCAUUUUAAUUGAUCGCAUAUAAUUCAUUUACUAAUUUCCAGUCAAACAAUGCACGUUUUACGUAUAAAUGUGUACAAAACACACAUACCCGCAUUCACGUGCAAAAUGUGUUAAAUAGCAAUAUAGUUAAUAGAGGAGUUCAGAUAAAAAAGAUAUUUUACAAAACAGUUCACACAUUGUCCACAGAUGUAUAAAAGACUAAAAUACACCUCUUAUUUUAAUAUGCUCUAAUUUCAUCAUUUAAUUUAAUGUAAUCCCAAUUUGACCCCAAAAUAUUCAAUUUUGACCCAAAACUCAAGUUUGAGUACGAUUUCGUCCGUCACCGCCGUUGACUUUUUUUUUCUUUUUUUUUUUCUUUUCCCGACGGUCCCAGGCGUUGACUUUUCAUUUUUUUUAUCGCCUGAUUUUUCCGCCGGUUUCCGGCAUUGACUUUUUCAAAAAAAAAAUCAUUUUCUUCUUUCUGCCGCCAGUAUUCGGCUGCGUUGAUAUUUUUAUUUUAUUUUUUUAUUUUUGAAUUUUUUUUCUAUAACAUCUUUUUACCCUGUUUAAAUAUUAAUAUUGUUGUAGUUGACAGUCAUAUUAACUAUAUUGCUAUUUAACACAGUAAUAUUAACUGUUCUACAGUUUAACACAGUAAUAUUGCUACAUUAUUCUCUAGCACAGUAAUAUUAACACAAAAAAAUCACUAUUAUUCUAUAAAAGAGAAAUAUUAAUAUGUUGACCUUUCAACACAUACAGACAUAAUAAAAAACUUAAAGAAGUAAUAUUGAUGUGGUUGACAGUAAUAUUAUACUAUCAUCCACAGUAAUACUACUGUAACAAUAGUAAUAUUACCGUCAACCACAAUAAUAUGAUUGUGUUUACAGUAAUAUUACAAUAGUCGACAGUGAUAUUAUUAUGUUAAUCGGUGAACAAAUCAAACAAAAUAGAAAAACAAAAAAAAAUAUUGAUGUGGUUGACAGUAAUAUUAUUGUGUUUACAGUGAUUUUAACAUCAAUGACAGUAAUAUAAUUACAUUAACUUAUCAACAAAUCAAACAAAAUAGAAAUAAAAGCCAAAAAAAUGAUAAUAUUGUUAUAGUUGACAAAAAUUGUACUGUCGCUGUCAGUACAUAUAUGUAAAUGUACUGACAACGACAGUACAAUUACAUAAACGUACUGUUAGCGACAAUAUACUUACUGUGAAUAACAGUAUAAUUACUGUCCACGUUCAGCGGCGGUCGUAAAAAAAAAAGGAUAAAAAUUUUAGAGCAAAAAAAAUAAAUUACAAAAAGUCAAUGCCGUAGACCGACAACGGAAAAGACACAUAAAGAAAAGUUAAAAAAAAAAAGUCAAAAUUGAUUUUUUUGUGGUCAAAUUUUAUUAAAUUGAAGUUAAAUUAGGGUUACAAUUAGGAAUUUAGUUUAAAGGAUUGAGGGUAUUUUUGUCAUAUACAUGAGAUGUGCUUAUUCGCAAAAGAGAUAUACCCGAUAAACUUAGCUAAAAUAACAAAGAUGGUUGGUUAUGGACUUAUACACAAACCCCUAUAUAUAUAUUUUCAGUAUUCAUUUGUAUAAUUUUGACUUAAUUAACACAUAGUUUUGAAUAGUAGGUAUGUAAUGAAAUUAAGUGUCGUAGAUUUUUUGAUAGAUGAGAAAGAAGGGCAACUCAUCUUUUUCAUGUUAUACGUUUCAAUUUUAUACUUAAAUACUUUUCUGCCUCAAUAUAUGAAUAUCAGUCAAUAUUAUACACCACAAAAAUAUUGAAAUGAUUGUCUAUAAAUGCACACACAUAACUAAUAAUAAAUCAUCCAGCCAGUCACACACACAUAAGAAAGAAAAAAAGUACUUACGAAGAUGUCUACCGAAUGCAGAGGUAAUUAAUUACUUACUAAUUCUUUAGAUCGAGCAAAUAAUAAAAAAAAAAAGAUGAUCAUAUGAUUAUAAAGUAGAAUAAUGUCUUUUUAAUUUUGUUUUGUUGGCUAUAUGUAUAAAUAUUAUAUCUAUAUGUAGGUAAAAGAUCUUGGCCCGAGUUGGUCGGUGUACCUGGAAAUGCAGCUGCAGCAACAAUUGAGAGGGAGAACCGUUUGGUGAAUGCGAUUAUUGUACCACCUGGAAAUUCUGUUAUUACUGAUUUUCGAUGCGAUCGUGUGUGGGUGUUUGUCAAUGGCAAUGGCAAUGUUACGAGGGUUCCUUCUAUUGGUUAAUUAUUAUAUCCGGGUUUGAAUUAAUAAAACAUCAUGUAUGUAUGGUGUGAAUACUACCAAUAAAACUAUUAAUGGGUGUAUGAAUAUCUAGUACGUACUUUUGUACGAUCGUGUGUGCGUUUCAUAUCGUUUUUACAUCAAUAAAUGUGGAAGAUGUUUGUUCCUUUAUAAAUUCCUUGUUGUUAAAUCAAUGUUAAUUAAAUUGUUUGAAUCAAAUUAUCACAUGCUCCGGUGGAACUGGACCCGAGUUGUCGUAGUUGUUUUGAUCUAAAAACCCGUCCCAAUAACGUAGAAAAUGUUCGUUUAUUGAUAUUUACCCAGGAAAAAGUUACAAAAAGAAGCUUUGACGUUUUGAGCUAUUUAAGAAGAAAAAAGAAAAAAAGAUAGAGGGAAAAGAUAUUAUUAAUGGGCUAUAAAUCACUUCUAGGGAUAUACACAAAUAUUUUUAUAACAUAUAAAUAUUGUCUUGGUUUAGUAAUAAGGAAACGUAGCUAAUGGCUUCCUCAUGCUCUUAACAUUCUUGUCAAUAUAUUUUUUUUUUCAUUUUGCUUUGUGAUGAGAUCAACAAUAACGAUGUGGUUCAAAUUCUAUUCUACGUCUCGCAAUUCCUUUCUCGCAUUCUUAAUUUCUCGCGUGGUAUCACAAAAAGUCGUUAGAACACUGGGGCUUGGUCCUGACGAAAACCAAUUGAUGCUCAAGUUAGCUCAAGAUGGUAAAAGAAUUCAGAGAAUUCAAGAGUAGUAGCAUGCCAUUGACUGUUCAUGGUGUAAGCAACUUAGCGAUUGAUAAAAAUAGUCGUACGAUGUUUCACGAUGCCAUUGAAAAGUUGGCAGCUCGUGAGGCGGUGGGUUGCUCAACGAGAAGUAACAUGCCAUUGACAGGUAGGUAACUCGUUAAAAAGUGGGCGACUUAACGAUUAGUCGACAAGAUGGUUGACCGUUUGCCCUGCCAUUAGCAAGUAGGCAGCUUGUCAGGCCGUGGGCGGCUAAAAAAAAGACUAGAAAUGACGGUUGACGGCUCGCCAUGUCGUUGGCAAGUACAAAAAUAUAUAAACAUUGAUAAAUCUUAUUACUUCUAAAUGCAUUAAUUUGUCGAAGUUUGACUGUCUUAUUUGGAAAAAAAAAUAUAUAAAAAUAUAUAGUUUCAUAUUCACAAACUGUAAUUGUUAGUAACUUUGUUCCAUAUCUUCUCAUUUAUAACUUCUCCACAAGUUUUCAAAUUCAUGAAGAAAAAUUCUUUGAAAUGUUGAUUUUUUUUUCGUUUCGCAUUCAUGGCAAACGUUAGUUCAUUGUUAUGUUAUUUUCUUUACUAAUAUUACGGCCAAAGUUACCAUAACCAACUAGCAGGCUUAUGAGAUCCUAUACCUGGUGAAAUAUACUAUCUGGAUUUAAUCUGCAGAUGUACAUAAAUAACUACCUAUUAAACACAAAUAGUGGCAGAGCCACCCUUUGGUAAGGGUGGGCUCCAGCCCACGUGGAAUAUUGAUAUUUUGUACUAUAUAUAGCUUAUAUAUAUAUAUGGUUUAUUGUAUAAUUAGUCCAGCAAAAUAAUCUAAAUUAGCCCACCAACCAAAACCCAAAAUAUAUUCAUAAAAUUAAUGUUAUUUUGUAUAGUGAAGCAAUUGCUUGGAGACAUUUGAAGAGAAAAUCACCCUCUUUGUGUGAAUGAACCGGGAAAAAAAAAAUCGGGGGCACUACCCCUGAACACUCGUAAAUUCUAAGCCCACCCUGAUCGGGAUUUCUGGCUCCGCCACUAAACACAAAUACACAUUCCUAUCAAAAAGAAAAAAAAAAAAGAGAAAGAACACAAAUACACACAUGUGUUUUUAUGUGUGAAUCAAUAGAAUAAAAUUACAUCAUGUAUUUCACCAAGUGUCGGUUCUACAAAACCCUAAAUAUCACCAUAUAUUCGGAUAUAAAAGGAUUCAAAUGCAUAUGUAAUAUCAGUUUUUUUCAAUAUAUCAUUUUCAAAUAGUAAUAUUUGUAAAUUCGAAUAUUUCCAUCAAUAUAAUAUAGUAUGACUUUCAACGUAUUUCCAGUCAAAUAUGCAUGCACGUAUAAAUGUGUACAAAUAAACACACAUGCCCCUAACGUGUUAUAUUUCAAAAUUCAUUCGUAUAAGUUUGACUUAUCAUAUAGUUUUGAAUAGUACGUACACGCCAACUCAUCUUCCUAUGUGUUAUACGUUUAAAUUAUUAUCAUUAAUAUUUUUCAGCCUCAUAUAUUAUAUGAUCAGUCAAAUUUAUACUGCACAAAAAUAUUGAAAUAAUUGUCUAUAAAUUAACACAUAAGUAAUUAAUUAAUAAUCAUCAAGCCAAUCACAAAUACAAAGAAGAAAACCAACACACACACACACACACACACAACAAAAAGAAAAAUACUUACGAAGAUGUCUGACGAAUGCAAAGGUAAUUAAACACACAAGAUUGUUGCUAAAUUACUUACUAAUUUGUUUUGAUCGAGCAAAUUAAAUAAAACAAAAAGAUGAUCACAAUAACGUAAAAAUAAUGUGUUUUAAUUUAAGUUAAUGCAAUUUUUUGUUGGUUAUAUGUAUAUACAUUAUAUCUAUAUAUACAGGGAAAGAUUCCUGGCCUGAGCUGAUCGGGGUACCUGGAAAUGUCGCUGUAGCAACAAUUGAGACGGAGAACCCUCUUGUGAAUGCAAUUAUUGUACCACCUGGAAAUUUUGUUAUUACUAAUUUUCGAUGCGAUCGCGUGUGGGUGUUUGUCGACGACAAUGGCAAUGUUAAGGACGUUCCUUUAAUUGGUUAAUUAUUAUUAUAUUAGGAUUUGAUAAUCAAUAAAUCAUCCAGUAUGGUGUGAAACUACUAAUAAAACGUACGUUGUAAAUGCGUUUCAUAACGUUUUUAUGUC